rnacentral:rRNA from 1 species
GCCUACGGGAGGCAGCAGUAAGGAAUAUUGCACAAUGGGCGCAAGCCUGAUGCAGCAACGCCGCGUGCCCGAGGACGGCCUUCGGGUUGUAAAGGGCUUUUCUGGCUGACGAGGAAGGACGGUAGGCCAGGAAUAAGCGUCGGCUAACUACGUGCCAGCAGCCGCGGUAAU